UUUUCUUUGACGAUUUCUCUUCUGAGCCACCCAGUGAAGGUUCCUUGCAAGAACACAAGUGGAGGGCUACUUACUGCGAUGCAGAUACCAGUGGCUAUAUCACUGAAGACAAUGACACCUCUUCAUUGUCCCCCAGCGACAGAUGGGGCGGCCUCACCAGCCCCUCCCCAGUGCAGGAUGAAAAGUUGACAGGGCGCGGUCUGCUGUAGGUCUUCUGCAGGUGACAAGAACUGAGGCAAGAAGAAAGGAGUUGCCACCAAGAUGGAGCCUGCACAGAGGGAAGAGUGGCAUGGGAAAGUAUCCUGUAUGCGUGACUUCCAAGACCCACACUCACCGAAGUAACCCAGUGUUGAGGAUACUUAAGCUUUGAUCUCCUGGUUGUGGUGGCUUCUUCAGGACUCUGAAUUCUACUCUAUAUUAAUAGCUUAAAUUAUUUCCAUUAACAAUAGCAGCACAUGAUCCUAUGACCUCCA